AUCAUCAAACACUGCAUCUUUGCGUCGGAGUCUUAAAGUAAAUUUAAACAAAACUUUCAACAACGGAUCUCUUGGUUCUGGCAUCGAUGAAGAACGCAGCGAAAUGCGAUAAGUAAUGUGAAUUGCAGAAUUCAGUGAAUCAUCGAAUCUUUGAACGC
rnacentral:rRNA from 1 species